UGGCAUUUUCCACAUUUUUCUUGAUUAUUUUCUUUGCAAGAUUAACAUGAGUAAUUGAAAGAGAGUUGGAAUUAGCAUAUUGAGGGGAUUGUUUAUUAUUUAUGAGAUAGAAAUCACACUCCUAUAUAACCAAACUCAUUAAGGCUCACAUAAUGUUUUUUCCAUCUUCUACAGACAUAAUUCCCAUAACAAGUAAGUAGUUUACACAUCCCCAAAGUACAUGAAACUCUCUGAGAUCCAAGUUUAUGAUCCAGGAGUGGAUGGCAUCAUCCUGACCUGAGCCCUUUCUCCAUCCCAGCGGUACUGCCCCAAAACAUGCUUCCAGAAAUAAUACAUGGGAAAUAGCCACUGCAAAUUGACUUCCACCUGGCCCCAACAUACGGGGACUUGGCUGUUCCUGCACAUGCGGCUCGGACCCGAAGCAGACGAGGAAGACAAGACAAACGGCAGAACAGCGCGGCAGAGAAGGAGCGAAAAGAAGGAACAUCCGGAGGAGUUCGGCUGGGGACAGUCGGAGAAUCGGCUGCUGGACGGCCAAACUGCAGGGGAAGAUCAUCUUCCACUCCAUCCCCUGUCCAGCUCCCAUUCCAUCCCACUGUGAACCACCUCCACCAAUCAAUAAAACCCCCACAUUCAUCCUUCAAGUCCAUGUGUGACUGGGACUCUGUACAAGAGCUCAGGGUACAGAAAGCUAUCACACUGGCCCCCUGUCCCUGCAAAAAGGCAAAGGGUCCACUGAACUGGUUCACCCUUAAGCCACCCGGGGACGGCAAAUCUAAGAGAGUGCACUGUAAGAUGCACCGACUUGGGCUUUGGGAGUCGCAGACACCCACCCCUGAAUGCUGCCUUGGCGCCGGAGCCCAAAAGUACUUGCCUGGUUCCUGCACCUGCCUGUCUGCAUGCAUCCCCUCCCGU
rnacentral:lncRNA from 1 species